UAGUGGGAUUGCCCCUUUAAUAAGUCUGCAUGGCCCCUUUAAAAAUGGCGCACUGAUUGCAUAAGGUGGGUGGGUACGUCAGGUAAUCACGUAGCUAUAUAGACACAGGUGAGAUGUAAUUUCCUCAUGACUUUGUAUCGAUGUGACCUGUUUGCGUAGGUCUUGUAUCUCCUUCACUCCUCGGUAAAGAUUAGUCGGUUACGUUCGGGCAUUGCUAGUGAGCAUGUGAGUGUUAUGCACGUCAAAGAAGUUGCUAGCUGCUGCUUUGCUGUGGCUUAAAUGCCGUUUCCAAUUUUGGGACGCAGAAUUUGUGUGCGCACGCGAUUGCACUGAACGUCUUCGCUGUCGCCUGUAUAACGUUCGCAUUGGAUGCGCUGUAAGACCGUGGCCUUUGAUUCUGGCGCCACCUGGUGUUCGCUGGUAACUCCAUCGUGUUUGUUUGUUUUUGUGUAUUUUGUUUAAGUGUGUGUGCAAUGGAGUUUGAUUGAAAUUGACUUUGUUUCAGUUCAAGUUGCUUCAUUGUAUUUUAUUUAUUAGGUUUUGUUUAUUAACCAAUUUAUUUCGUUUAUAUUAUUUGGGUUGGUUGUAUUUCUUUGUCUUGUUUCACAUUGAUGCUGCUCCAUUACGUAGUUGAGAUUGUGGUUUAUUUAUUUUUGUUCUUUCUGGUUUUGGUUUAUUUGGUUGAUGUGGAGUGGGUU